UCUACGGGAGGCAGCAGUAGGGAAUCUUCCGCAAUGGACGAAAGUCUGACGGAGCAACGCCGCGUGAGUGAUGAAGGUUUUCGGAUCGUAAAGCUCUGUUGUUAGGGAAGAACAAGUGCCGUUCAAAUAGGGCGGCACCUUGACGGUACCUAACCAGAAAGCCACGGCUAACUACGUGCCAGCAGCCGCGGUAAUA
rnacentral:rRNA from 1 species